UCAGGCUUUCAAGCGUUAUUUAAUGUUGUCUGCUCACCCAAUCUUGACCUUAUGGUUACUUUUUCAGGCGAAAAAGUUAGACAAAGCAAAUUAUGUCAAGGAAGCAAGUGCAAAUUUUUAUCAAUUCCUCUGGAACCUUCUUAAUUUAGAGUUUUUCUUAUAUCCUUUCAUGUAACGAAUUAGUUGCCAGUUCAUUAUACGU